GGAGAGAUGGCUGAGUGGUCGAAAGCAACGGUUUGCUAAACCGUCGUACGGAAUUAAUUCCGUACCGAGGGUUCGAAUCCCUCUCUCUCCG
rnacentral:tRNA from 1 species